rnacentral:rRNA from 1 species
AUGAACGCUGGCGGCGUGCCUAAUACAUGCAAGUCGAGCGAACAGACGAGGAGCUUGCUCCUCUGACGUUAGCGGCGGACGGGUGAGUAACACGUGGAUAACCUACCUAUAAGACUGGGAUAACUUCGGGAAACCGGAGCUAAUACCGGAUAAUAUAUUGAACCGCAUGGUUCAAUAGUGAAAGACGGUUUUGCUGUCACUUAUAGAUGGAUCCGCGCCGCAUUAGCUAGUUGGUAAGGUAACGGCUUACCAAGGCAACGAUGCGUAGCCGACCUGAGAGGGUGAUCGGCCACACUGGAACUGAGACACGGUUCAGACUCCUACGGGAGGCAGCAGUAGGGAAUCUUCCGCAAAGGGCGAAAGCCUGACGGAGCAACGCCGCGUGAGUGAUGAAGGUCUUCGGAUCGUAAAACUCUGUUAUUAGGGAAGAACAAAUGUGUAAGUAACUAUGCACGUCUUGACGGUACCUAAUCAGAAAGCCACGGCUAACUACGUG